AACGAACGCUGGCGGCAGGCCUAACACAUGCAAGUCAAACGGGGUAGCAAUACCUAGUGGCGCACGGGUGAGUAACACGUGGGAAUCUCCCUUUCAGUACGGAAUAACAGCGGGAAACUGCUGCUAAUACUGUAUGGUCCCUUCGGGGUAAAGAUUUAUCGCUGAAAGAUGAGCCCGCGUCAGAUUAGCUAGUUGGUGGGGUAACGGCCUACCAAGGCUACGAUCUGUAGCUGGCCUUAGAGGACGAUCAGCCACACUGGAACUGAGACACGGUCCAGACUCCUACGGGAGGCGGCAGUGGGGAAUAUUGGACAAUGGGGGAAACCCUGAUCCAGCCAUGCCGCGUGAGUAAUGAAGGCCUUCGGGUUGUAAAGCUCUUUAGGGUGGGACGAUAAUGACGGUACCACCAGAAUAAGCCCCGGCUAACUUCGUGCCAGCCGCCGCGGUAA
rnacentral:rRNA from 1 species